ACGAAGGGGGCUAGCGUUGCUCGGAAUUACUGGGCGUAAAGCGCACGUAGGCGGUCUUUUAAGUCGGGGGUGAAAUCCUGGAGCUCAACUCCAGAACUGCCUUCGAUACUGGAAGACUUGAGUCCGGGAGAGGUGAGUGGAACUGCGAGUGUAGAGGUGAAAUUCGUAGAUAUUCGCAAGAACACCAGUGGCGAAGGCGGCUCACUGGCCCGGUACUGACGCUGAUGCGCGAAAGCGUGGGGAGCAAACAGGA
rnacentral:rRNA from 1 species